CCUACGGGAGGCAGCAGUGGGGAAUAUUGGACAAUGGGCGCAAGCCUGAUCCAGCCAUACCGCGUGUGUGAAGAAGGCCCUAGGGUUGUAAAGCACUUUAAGUUGGGAAGAAAGGUUAUUGGUUAAUACCCAAUAGCCGUGACAUUACCAUCAGAAUAAGGACCGGCUAAUUCCGUGCCAGCAGCCGCGGUAAUACGGAAGGUCCAAGCGUUAAUCGGAAUUACUGGGCGUAAAGCGCGCGUAGGUGGUUUAUUAAGUUGGAUGUGAAAUCCCCGGGCUCAACCUGGGAACUGCAUCCAAAACUGAUUCACUAGAGUACGAUAGAGGGAGGUAGAAUUCACAGUGUAGCGGUGGAAUGCGUAGAUAUUGUGAAGAAUACCAAUGGCGAAGGCAGCCUCCUGGAUCUGUACUGACACUGAGGUGCGAAAGCGUGGGUAGCGAACAGGAUUAGAUACCCUGGUAGUCCACGCCGUAAACGAUGUCAACUAGCUGUUGGGGAACUAUGUUCUUCAGUGGCGCAGCUAACGUAGUAAGUUGACCGCCUGGGGAGUACGGCCGCAAGGCUAAAACUCAAAGGAAUUGACGGA
rnacentral:rRNA from 1 species